UUCACCAAGUACAGUGACACGGCACACUAUCAUCAAACUUCCAAAUCCAAUACAGACACUGAUAAAAGAAGGCGAAGGCCAUUGUUUGUUAUCUCUCUACUCAAUACAGUAGUAAUAUUAUUUUGAUGUUCAGUCACCAUCAACAGAGUUCUUACUGAUAAUCUAAAAUUCUAAAUCCCCUCUGCCUAGUAUCAUCUCCAUCUCUGUACGCCUCCCGUAUCAGAAUUUUUUUUUUAAAAAACAAGAGGAAAAUUUUGAAUUAUUCUGCAAUUGGCAUAAUUUUUGCGGGGAUGGCUCAAUCGAUGAACAGAGGUGGGAGGUUUAUGAUUGGGGAUUAUGUGAUUGUGAAGCAAAUCGGGACGGGUUCGUUUUCAACGGUGUGGCACGGGUGCCACCGUGUCGAUGGUACAGACGUUGCAAUCAAGGAGAUUGCUACUGCUAGGCUCGACCCGAAACUCCGGGAGAGCCUCAAGUCGGAAAUUAUCAUUUUGCAGAAGAUUAAUCAUCCUAAUAUUAUUCGUUUGCAUGACAUGAUUGAGGAGCCGGGAAAAAUAUAUUUUGUUUUGGAGUACUGCAGAGGAGGUGAUCUUUCAAUGUACAUACAACGACGCCAAGGGAGGAUCGCAGAAGCAACUGCAAAACAUUUCAUGCAGCAGCUAGCAUCAGGUCUAAAAAUCCUUCGCGAAAACAAUCUAAUCCAUAGGGACCUAAAGCCUCAGAAUCUUCUGUUGUCCGCAGCUGAUGACAACUCCACCCUGAAGAUUGCUGAUUUUGGGUUUGCAAGGUCUUUGCAGCCUUGGGUGCUUGCAGAAACUCUAUGUGGGUCGCCAUUGUACAUGGCUCCUGAAAUAAUGCAGCUUCAGAAGUAUGAUGCGAAGGCAGAUCUCUGGAGUGUUGGUGCCAUUCUGUUUCAGCUUGUAACUGGCAAAACCCCGUUUACUGGAAACAAUCAAAUACAGUUGCUCCAAAACAUAGUGAAGUCCACUAAAUUGCAGUUUCCUCUAGAUGCCAAGCAUUUAAGUCCUCAUUGCAUAGAUUUGUGUCAAAAAUUAUUGCGCCGUUAUCCAGUGGAGCGCUUGACAUUUGAAGAGUUCUUUAACCACCCAUUUCUUGCACAGAAGCAGCCAGAUGAGCUGUCUCGGAAUCAGCAACCUCAAAGGGUAAUAGAUGGUUUUUCUCUGGAAAAAUCCAAUCCUGGAAGGAGCACUGAGGAAACUUUUCAAGAAGAUGGUUUACCUUUUAUUCUAGAUGAUGAUUCCAGCAGUCAUCGUGGUGGUCCUUCUUUUGCUGGAAUACCACAGAGAUCUUCGUGUGGAUUUUCUCAGGAUGCAAGAGCUGACAGGAAAGAAUUUUCUAGUGCACCAAGCAAAACUGAUCCUCCUCUGGAUUGUAGUAACAUCACACACAAAUCAGAUACUACUGGUUUUAGCCCUAGCGAACACGGACCUUCAGAAGGGAACCUGAAGGAAUCUAGUUUAAUGGACCAUAGACUAUGUUCAAAAGUGUCGGAUUCAUUCGAGCUGAUUGAGAAGGAAUAUGUCCUUGUAUCUAGGUCCCUCAUGGACUCAUCUUCUUCAGCAGCUGCAUCUAGGCUUAGCAAUAUGCAAUUCAGAUCAAGUUUUUCUCUGCAAGCCUCUGGGAACAUAGAAACUAGAGUAAGUGAGCCGGUGCUUACUGUUGGUCCUGCAACUAAUAGAAUAGGUCCUGUAGGAAGGUUGGAAAGUUCCUCUUUUGUUCCAGGAGCUUCACAAGGAUCCGCAGAUAUUAUAGACCCUCUGGAGCAGCCGACUGAUGGCAUGGCCAGAAUUGGAUCACUGCAACAAUUUGCUUCUGCUAUCACAGAUUUAGUAAAUGAGAAGGUAACUCACGUCGAUGGCGUCUUCCCUUUAAAAAUAUUGCCGCAGAGAGGCAUCUGGAAGCAUUUUCAAUUGAGCUUGUCAUGCUUGCAAUAUGGAAACAAGCCUUGGAUGUAUGUCAUAUGCAAGUGGCAUCGGCAAUUGAAGGAAUUCCAAACCAAGAGACUACCAAAUUGAGGGAGAUUUUGAGGGAGAGUCGAGUUGGUCUCAACAUUAAAGAGGACACUUGUAACAUUUUGCGGCCAGAGAAUGUGUACUCUCAUAUUGAAAGAGCAUUUCUGAAUGAAAUUGGGAAGGCAGAGGAACUUGCCAAACAUAUAGAGCCUGGAAAUACAGAGGUGCCAGAUGCAAUGGAGAUGAUAUUUCAAUCUGCGCUUGAUCUCGGCAGAAAGGGGGCUGUUGAAGAGUACAUGGGUCGGACUGAAAGUGCAGUGGUUUUUUAUUCAAAAGCAGUGCGCUUGUUAGCAUUCCUUCAGGUGGAAGCACCAUUACUUCUUCUAAACCCUCCAUUCUCACUGACAGACUCCGAUCGCUAUAGGCUUGGAAGUUACAUUGAUAUUCUCAAUAAUAGGCAAAGUGUUUCGAGGUCUCAAAUCAUGACUCUCCUCAAGUGUGAGGAUCGGCACUGUUCCCCGUGAAGGCGAUAGACCGAGUGAGAGAAAACUGUUAAUAUAUAAUGACGAUUAACAUAUCACAACUUAUUCUGUAUAGCUCUUUAUCUGUACAGUUAUUUCUUCACUAAUUUAAGGAAAGUGAAAUGUUCUUUUA